AACGAACGCUGGCGGCAUGCCUAACACAUGCAAGUCGAACGAGAUCUUCGGGUCUAGUGGCGCACGGGUGCGUAACGCGUGGGAAUCUGCCCUUUGGUUCGGAAUAACAGUUGGAAACGACUGCUAAUGCCGGAUGAUGACGAAAGUCCAAAGAUUUAUCGCCAGAGGAUGAGCCCGCGUAGGAUUAGCUAGUUGGUGUGGUAAAGGCGCACCAAGGCGACGAUCCUUAGCUGGUCUGAGAGGAUGAUCAGCCACACUGGGACUGAGACACGGCCCAGACUCCUACGGGAGGCAGCAGUGGGGAAUAUUGGACAAUGGGCGAAAGCCUGAUCCAACAAUGCCGCGUGAGUGAUGAAGGCCUUAGGGUUGUAAAGCUCUUUUACCCGGGAUGAUAAUGACAGUACCGGGAGAAUAAGCUCCGGCUAACUCCGUGCCAGCAGCCGCGGUAA
rnacentral:rRNA from 1 species